GCAUUACAAUUAUAAUUUCAGACUGUUGAAUUUGUGAAAGAGUGACUUAAUUUAAAAAUUAUGUACGCAAACCCUUCACUUACGAAGCAUAUCACAUGUAAAGUAGGAAAUUAAAAAUGGUACGAAGGAAAGCAAGGGCCAGAUGGAAAAGAUAUGCAAAUUGCAAUCAAUACAAGCAAAUUAACUGAAGAUUGUCUUAAGGGUCAAGAGGAAAGAGUAAAGGACUUUAUUACACUUGACACCCAGCUUCUCUAUUAUGCAAUUACCAUGAGCUAAUUGUGCUCUUUCAGGCUUUCUUCUGUUUUGGUGCUGGCGGAGGGAAGACGAGGCGGAAGACCCAAGCAGCCAAUAUUGCUCCUACGAAGGGGCAAAUCCAAUAAACAUAGAAUUGUUCCCAUGUAUCGUGCCUUUUGUUUAUAUAUGCCCACCCAAAUGCAUUAGCAGGAUUCAUGGAAGGCCCAGUGUAUUUGGAACCUGAGACAACCAAUGUUACAGUUACAACGGCAAGCAACCAAUUCUGCACCAGUGAGUUACGAGGACCCCUAAGUAUAAUUACAAGAACAGCAAAGCUAAUUAAAAAUGUCAACACCCCCUCAGCAAUGGCUCCAGUAUGCAAGUCAACUUUCAAAGUAGGGCCUCCAAGCAUGUGCUUAUACUGUGGUGGCAUCACCUCCAAAAUGGCCAACGCACCACCCACAGCACCUGCUGCCUGAGCAGGGAAUCUCAGGGCCAUGGAGAAGAGAUUAUCCCCACCAAACCCAGCAGCAUAGAAAGAAGCAGUACCAGUGGGAUUAAAACUGGCUCCACCCAAGAACUCAGCGAUCAGGCCAAACAAGAAAACAAAUACAAAAACAAUAACAGUAGUAAUAAAAAGAGAGGCCCAAAACUGGUGAUGAACGCCGAGCGCAGUGGCUAUGAGGCUGGUAAAGAAGCCGAACAUUGAUGAGCAGAAGACCCACAUGAACGUGAGCACAGCAUCACCAAUAGCCGACUUUAUCGCACCCAUUGGUACUCCCUAAAGCUUUUCGUUUCUGGGUUUGAUAGCUAUAGUCUGGUUAAGUAGAAGGAAUCAGCUGGGUAUCAGAUGAAAAGAGAAAACUUGGUGGUGCUUAGUUGGCCUGGGAUAUUUGUGCGAGUUUUGGCAGGAACUGGGAAAGUGAACGUUUCAAGAUGGGAUUUUUUAGUUUGGGUUUUGUUUGUGAUUUACCUAACCAGAAGAAGCUCUUCUUCUGUUCUUUCCAUGUUUCAUUAGGACUCUCUUUC
rnacentral:misc_RNA from 1 species